ACGCUCUUAGUUCAGUGGUAGAACGCUGGUUUCCAAAACCAGAUGUCGUAGGUUCAAGUCCUACAGGGCGU
rnacentral:tRNA from 1 species